AGUGAACGCUGGCGGCGUGCCUAAUACAUGCAGGUCGAGCGACCAGACAAGGAGAGCGCGCUCCUACGGUUGGCGGGGGACGGGCGAGUAACACGUAGAUAAGCUACCUAUAAGACGGGGAGAACAUCGGGAGGACAGAGACACUACCAGAGAAUACGUCCAACGGGAGGGAGCAAGAGAGAAAGAGGGCUUUGCCGACAGAAAGAGAUGGAUCCGCGUCGCAUUCGCUACUUGGUAAGGUAACGGCCAACCAAGGCAACGAUGCGUAGCCGAGCUGAGAGGAUGAUCGGCCACACUGGAACUGAGACACGGUCCAGACUCCUACGGGAGGCAGCAGUAGGGAAUCUUCCGCAAUGGGCGCAAGCCUGACGCAGCCACGCCGCGUGGGUGAUGAAGGUCUUCGGAUCGUAAAGCUCUUUUAUUAGGAAAGAACAACUGCGUGAUUAUCUCUCCCCGUCUUGACGGUACCUAAACAAAAAGCCCCGGCUAACUUCGUG
rnacentral:rRNA from 1 species